rnacentral:rRNA from 1 species
GACGAACGCUGGCGGCGUGCUUAACACAUGCAAGUCGAACGGAAAGGCCCUGCUUUUGUGGGGUGCUCGAGUGGCGAACGGGUGAGUAACACGUGAGUAACCUGCCCUUGACUUUGGGAUAACUUCAGGAAACUGGGGCUAAUACCGGAUAGGAGCUCCUGCUGCAUGGUGGGGGUUGGAAAGUUUCGGCGGUUGGGGAUGGACUCGCGGCUUAUCAGCUUGUUGGUGGGGUAGUGGCUUACCAAGGCUUUGACGGGUAGCCGGCCUGAGAGGGUGACCGGCCACAUUGGUCCUGAGAUACGGCCCAGACUCGUACGGGAGGCAGCAGUGGGGAAUAUUGCACAAUGGGCGGAAGCCUGAUGCAGCAACGCCGCGUGCGGGAUGACGGCAUUCGGGUUGUAAACCGCUUCCGCCUGUGACGAAGCGUGAGUGACGGUAAUGGGUAAAGAAGCCCCGGCUAACUACGUG